rnacentral:rRNA from 1 species
GAUGAACGCUGGCGGCGUGCCUAAUACAUGCAAGUCGAGCGAACGGACGAGAAGCUUGCUUCUCUGAUGUUAGCGGCGGACGGGUGAGUAACACGUGGAUAACCUACCUAUAAGACUGGGAUAACUUCGGGAAACCGGAGCUAAUACCGGAUGAUAUUUUGAACCGCAUGGUUCAAAAGUGAAAGACGGUCUUGCUGUCACUUAUAGAUGGAUCCGCGCUGCAUUAGCUAGUUGGUAAGGUAACGGCUUACCAAGGCAACGAUGCAUAGCCGACCUGAGAGUGUGAGCCGCAACAAUAGAACUGAGACAGGGGCCAGACAAGCACGGGAGGCAGCAGUGGGGAAUAGUGGACAAUGGCCUAAAGCCUUACAAAGCAAUAAUGCGUGAGUGAAGAAGGACUUCGGGUCGGAAAACACCUUUGUGGGAAAAGAACAGAAGCAGACGAAUAUCCCCAGGGCCGGAGGGGACCCAAACAGUAAGAAACGGAUAACUUCGUG